rnacentral:lncRNA from 1 species
GCCACUACCAACCACAGUAUGGCAGAGAAGUAGCAGAGAAGAAAUAAAAGAAAUCCCCUCUCACUCUCCAAUUCUGUUGUUGCCUCCAUGCGCCAAUCCAAACCGAAAGCAAAACUACCUGGUGUGUCUGGAAGUGUCUGUUUCUGGAAUUCCACUCACAGGGGAAAAUUAGCCUGAACCAGAUGGCUUGAAACAGUCCUCAUGGGUGAGGGGUGGAAGGAGACACUGGAAAAGGGGACUGAAAUCAGCUUUAGGAACUUUCUGUCCUUUAAUCUCAAGAAUACAGAAAGUGAAUGUAACAUGUUAUGAGAAACCUCAUAUUGCCUGUAGAUCUUCACUUUCAAUACACACACACGCACACGCACACGCACACAGGCUACUGCUAUUGGCAAAUGCCUCCUCUCCAGCCAUCAGAGGAAAGAAGCUAUCCAGACGGUCCCAACGCACCAGGGAUAGAUGGAGUCUCCGCAGCCCUCAGCUGCAGCGGACUGGUCUGUGGAAUCACAGCGAGGAAGGUGUUGCGAGGAAAUCCCUUGCAUGCUGUGUGGUGUGUUAAAAAUGCAGCAUCAUCCUCUCUGCUCCUUUUCUUCGCUGAAAAGCAGAAUUCGAGGGCACAGGGAAACUGGAGGGGCGAGAAGGCUGUCUCCUGGAGCCCUGGGGCUGUCUCCCUCCAUGCCCCACUCCUUGGGCUCUAAUUGCCCUUGCUCCAAUGGGCCAGCAGCACCUUCACCAUUUAUUUCCUCUUCAAUUCACUCCAGCGGGGAGGGAAGAGGGAACACAAAACUCUAAAAAUAACUGUCAGCAUCUU